CCCACUUUCCCCAUUAUCCUUUUAUCCUCCUAUUUCUCUGCUCAACUGCUUCCCCACAUCCCCACAUCGUGGUUGGUAUAUGCAGUUUAUCACGGUUACAAAAUUGGAUGGUUAUCCCCUUCCUAUAUAUAACACUUGCUGAAUCUCCCACAGCCAAAUCAAUCACUCGAUGUUCUUUUAGGGUUUGACGUUUGAAGAGGUUAAGUUGGAUGCCUUCAACAUGUCCAAUUGGAAUCACGGAGGAGCCUCAUCAGCCUCCCAAAUACUGAUGAACGGUAAGUUUUUCUUCAUACAUUUGACUUCUAUGUCUUCUUCCUCUUCGACUUUCCAUUCCACUGUUCUUCAAUUUUCAUUUUAGAAUCAGAUUUCCCAUGUAUUUCUAAUGGUUUUGUUUUCCUGAUUUUGAUAAGUCCAUUAUGUUUUCUUAAUUUUAUUUCUAACUAUGUUCUCCUGAAGGUACUUCUCAUUAAGCAUUCAGGUUGUAUGCUUUCAUGCAUUGGAGAAACAAAAGGAGGUCAUGUUAUCUCUAGAACUGUAAGUUUUUUUGGGUCUCCAAAAUACCAAUUGCAACUAACAUAUUUGUUUUUGUAUAUAUUAAAUUUCAGCUUCUCGUGUUACAGAUCAAAACUUAACAUUUAUGAUGAUGUUGUCGAAAGAGUUACCUGACAUUUAAAUUUAGAUGACCCGUCUAAAAUUAGGCUUACAUCGCAUAAUGGUUACUCCAGCAACCUAACUAUCGGGUUAUUUUUUUAUUAAUUUUUUAGCACAAUAAUAUCUUCUCUUCGUUGUCAAACAUGCAAAAUGUUUAUAGAAUAUGUUAUAAUCUAUAAUUUAUUAAUUUAUCUUUUUUUGUCAUGCAUAAACUUCAUGAAUUUUGUAUCACGAAGUAUUGGAUAUCCCUCUGCUAGAACUUGAAGGCCUGAAAGCUCUAAAACUUGCUUUUUAUCACGCUACGAAAGAGGAAGCAAGCGUCGACUCAUAACAUUCUAUUUGACUUAUAUUUGACCUUUCUUUCUUGUACUCGUACGUUUGCUUAAAAUGAUUAUUAGGUAACUAUACAUACUAUAAGAUUGCCAAAGCAAAGCAAAGCAUAGAUGGAGAUGUUAUCAAUGAUCUCAAAGACAAGUUGAGUUAUCUCAUAAAGACGCAAUGCUCCGACUGAUUGCUCGAGUUCUUUUAUCACAUUAUUUACAAGGCCCUAACCCGCUUCUAAACUUAUCUUGGUAUAUGCAAAUAUUCCGUUGCAAUAAAAAAACUAAGUAUCUCAAUGAUGAAUGUUUCACAUUCCGGGUUGUGGAGGUUUGGGUUAAAAAAAUUAACCUAUUGCUUAAAAUGUGAUAAGGGUCUACCUUUCUCUCACUCACUACACUUGAUCAGCGACGUACAAGUGCUUAUUAGAGUUCUCUACUUAAAUCUGGUUCUUUAUUGGACGCACCCCUAUGUAUAUAUAUGUCAUAGCAUUCAUUUUGUUACUAUUUUUCGUUAUUACUCUGUUCACAUUUCUUUUACAGAUUCCAGAAGAGGAAAAGGACCUUAAUCCACAUGAUCAUAUCAUUCAUGUUUACCAUUUCAUCAAAGAUACACCUCAAAACCAGGUGCGGUACCUAGGCUGAAAACGCAGAUCAUAUCCUGAACGGAUGUCUCCUGGCCCGGUGUGCAUGGUGGCAGAUCUGGGUUUGGUUGCGUAUUCCGGUUCCUAAUCUCGUGUCUCCUAGAGAAGUGCAAGAGUUUGUUAAAUCCUAAAUCGGGUCUAAGACUUGGAAAAAUGUGGUUGGAGUUGUAGUAUAUGCAACGUUUUGGAGAUUAUGGAAAUGCAUAAACGAAAAACCGUUAACAGCAGCAAUAUAACACUAUUUCAGCCCAUAAAAUGGCUGAGUUGAAUAAGGAAGAUGCUUUCUUUUGGAUCAAGAAUUUUUAUGGGUUUGCUUCUUUGAGUUUGGAGAUGCGGAUUGGUUUUAAUGUAUGUAAUCUGUUGUACAUUGUAACUUUUGCCCAGCUCCUUGCUAGUGUUUGGUUUUAUGUUUAAUAGAUCAUGGAUGUUCAACAUUGGUA